GAGUUUGAUCCUGGCUCAGAUUGAACGCUGGCGGCAUGCCUUACACAUGCAAGUCGAACGGCAGCACGGGAGCUUGCUCCUGGUGGCGAGUGGCGAACGGGUGAGUAAUGCAUCGGAACGUAUCCUGGAGUGGGGGAUAACGUAGCGAAAGUUACGCUAAUACCGCAUAUUCUGUGAGCAGGAAAGCGGGGGACCUUCGGGCCUCGCGCUCUUGGAGCGGCCGAUGUCGGAUUAGCUAGUUGGUGAGGUAAAGGCUCACCAAGGCGACGAUCCGUAGCAGGUCUGAGAGGAUGAUCUGCCACACUGGAACUGAGACACGGUCCAGACUCCUACGGGAGGCAGCAGUGGGGAAUUUUGGACAAUGGGGGCAACCCUGAUCCAGCCAUGCCGCGUGAGUAGAAGA
rnacentral:rRNA from 1 species